rnacentral:misc_RNA from 1 species
UUUCCGUAGGUGAACCUGCGGAAGGAUCAUUUCUGAUUGGGUGGGGCGGUUGGGCUCGUAAGGGAGACAGAGAGUCACAUCUUUGCUUCUAAUGGGUCCUUCCGUAUCCACUUGACCAAGCGAGAGUGUGGUAUAAGCGUGGGCAAUCCCCAUCCAACUGAUUGGGGCUGGCAACUUUUUUAACUAAAAGUGUCGCCCCAACCGUUGGUGGUGGUUUAGCUCUUUUUUUCCAACCAACCAAAAUACUAUGAUGAGUCGUUAUUGUGAGCUAGUGACUUGUGCUUUAUUGCUUGGCGUUUGACCUUCAAGCCUCAGGUAUGAAACCAAAUCACAAAAUACAAAACAAAAUACACAACUGUCAACGGUGGAUCUCUUGGCUCGUGCAUCGAUGAAGAACAGC